UACGUAGGGUGCGAGCGUUGUCCGGAAUUAUUGGGCGUAAAGCGUCCGCAGGUGGCUGUGUAAGUCUGCUGUUAAAGAGUGAGGCUCAACCUCAUAAAGGCAGUGGAAACUACAUGGCUAGAGUGCGUUCGGGGCAGAGGGAAUUCCCGGUGUAGCGGUGAAAUGCGUAGAGAUCAGGAAGAACACCGGUGGCGAAAGCGCUCUGCUAGGCCGCAACUGACACUGAGGGACGAAAGCUAGGGGAGCGAAUGGG
rnacentral:rRNA from 1 species